UACGGGGGGGGCAAGCGUUGUUCGGAAUUACUGGGCGUAAAGGGUUCGUAGGUGGCUCGCUAAGUCAGACGUGAAAUCCCUCAGCUUAACUGGGGAACUGCGUCUGAGACUGGCAAGCUCGAGUGCAGGAGAGGAACGCGGAAUUCCAGGUGUAGCGGUGAAAUGCGUAGAUAUCUGGAGGAACACCGGUGGCGAAGGCGGCGUUCUGGACUGCAUCUGACACUGAGGAACGAAAGCCAGGGGAGCAAACGGG
rnacentral:rRNA from 1 species